ACUGAACGCUGGCGGCAUGCUUUACACAUGCAAGUCGAACGGUAGAGGGGGCAACCCCUUGAGAGUGGCGAACGGGUGAGUAAUGCAUCGGAACGUGCCCAGUCGUGGGGGAUAACGCAGCGAAAGCUGUGCUAAUACCGCAUACGAUCUCUGGAUGUAAGCGGGGGACCGAAAGGCCUCGCGCGAUUGGAGCGGCCGAUGUCAGAUUAGGUAGUUGGUGGGGUAAAGGCUCACCAAGCCAACGAUCUGUAGCUGGUCUGAGAGGACGACCAGCCACACUGGGACUGAGACACGGCCCAGACUCCUACGGGAGGCAGCAGUGGGGAAUUUUGGACAAUGGGCGCAAGCCUGAUCCAGCAAUGCCGCGUGCAGGAAGAAGGCCUUCGGGUUGUAAACUGCUUUUGUACGGAACGAAAAGGUCUGGGUUAAUACCCUGGGCACAUGACGGUACCGUAAGAAUAAGCACCGGCUAACUACGUGCCAGCCGCCGCAGUAA
rnacentral:rRNA from 1 species